rnacentral:rRNA from 1 species
AGAGUUUGAUCCUGGCUCAGAUUGAACGCUGGCGGCAUGCCUUACACAUGCAAGUCGAACGGUAACAGGGAGCUUGCUCCGCUGACGAGUGGCGAACGGGUGAGUAAUAUAUCGGAACGUGCCUGGUAAUGGGGGACAACUAGUCGAAAGAUUAGCUAAUACCGCAUACGCCCUACGGGGGAAAGAGGGGGAUUCGCAAGAACCUCUCGUUAUCAGAGCGGCCGAUAUCUGAUUAGCUAGUUGGUGAGGUAAAGGCUCACCAAGGCUUCGAUCAGUAGCUGGUCUGAGAGGACGACCAGCCACACUGGGACUGAGACACGGCCCAGACUCCUACGGGAGGCAGCAGUGGGGAAUUUUGGACAAUGGGCGCAAGCCUGAUCCAGCAAUGCCGCGUGAGUGAAGAAGGCCUUCGGGUUGUAAAGCUCUUUUGUCAGGGAAAGAAACGGUCUUGGUUAAUACCUGGGGGCUAAUGACGGUACCUGAAGAAUAAGCACCGGCUAACUACGUGCCC